UACGUAGGGUGCGAGCGUUAAUCGGAAUUACUGGGCGUAAAGCGUGCGCAGGCGGCUUUGCAAGACAGAGGUGAAAUCCCCGGGCUCAACCUGGGAACUGCCUUUGUGACUGCAAGGCUAGAGUACGGCAGAGGGGGAUGGAAUUCCGCGUGUAGCAGUGAAAUGCGUAGAUAUGCGGAGGAACACCGAUGGCGAAGGCAAUCCCCUGGGCCUGUACUGACGCUCAUGCACGAAAGCGUGGGGAGCAAACAGGAUUA
rnacentral:rRNA from 2 species